UACGGGGGGAGCAAGCGUUGUUCGGAUUUACUGGGCGUAAAGGGCGCGUAGGCGGCCUCUGCAAGUCGACUGUGAAAUCUCCGGGCUUAACCCGGAAAGGUCAGCCGAUACUGCAGGGCUAGAGUGCAGAAGGGGCAACUGGAAUUCUCGGUGUAGCGGUGAAAUGCGUAGAUAUCGGGAGGAACACCUGAGGCGAAGGCGGGUUACUGGGCUGAUACUGACGCUGAUGCGCGAAAGCCAGGGGAGCAAACGGG
rnacentral:rRNA from 1 species